AGUCGAGCGGAACGAGUUAUCUGAACCUUCGGGGAACGAUAACGGCGUCGAGCGGCGGACGGGUGAGUAAUGCCUAGGAAAUUGCCCUGGUGUGGGGGAUAACCAUUGGAAACGAUGGCUAAUACCGCAUAACACCUACGGGUCAAAGAGGGGGACCUUCGGGCCUCUCGGGUCAGGAUAUGCCUAGGUGGGAUUAGCUAGUUGGUGAGGUAAUGGCUCACCAAGGCGACGAUCCCUAGCUGGUCUGAGAGGAUGAUCAGCCACACUGGAACUGAGACACGGUCCAGACUCCUACGGGAGGCAGCAGUGGGGAAUAUUGCACAAUGGGCGCAAGCCUGAUGCAGCCAUGCCGCGUGUGUGAAGAAGGCCUUCGGGUUGUAAAGCACUUUCAGUCGUGAGGAAGGUAGUGUAGUUAAUAGCUGCAUUAUUUGACGUUAGCGACAGAAGAAGCACCGGCUAACUCCGUGCCAGCAGCCGCGGUAAUACGGAGGGUGCGAGCGUUAAUCGGAAUUACUGGGCGUAAAGCGCAUGCAGGUGGUUUGUUAAGUCAGAUGUGAAAGCCCGGGGCUCAACCUCGGAAUAGCAUUUGAAACUGGCAGACUAGAGUACUGUAGAGGGGGGUAGAAUUUCAGGUGUAGCGGUGAAAUGCGUAGAGAUCUGAGGGAAUACCGGUGGCGAAGCGGCCCCCUGGACAGAUACUGACACUCAGAUGCGAAAGCGUGGGGGAGCAAACAGGAUUAGAUACCCUGGUAGUCCACGCCGUAAACGAUGUCUACUUGGAGGUUGUGGCC
rnacentral:rRNA from 1 species